rnacentral:rRNA from 1 species
AAAACUCUCAGAAAUGGAUAUCUUGGUUUUCAUAUUGAUGAAGAAUGUAGCAAAAUGUGACACUUGGUGUGAGUUGUAGAAUCUCGUGAACCAUCGACUCCUUAAACUUAUGCUUCAAGCCAUAAGGCCGAGGGCACACCUACCUGAGUGUCAUGCAUUAUCACUUUUCCAACCCCUUGCCCAUUGGGCUCCGGGUGAGGGGGGACAAAAGAUGGCCUCUCGUGAUCUUGUCUGUUGUGGUUGGUUGAAAAAUGAGUCCCAGUAACGAUGAUACCAUGACCAUUAGUGGUAAAACUCUUGUCGUGCCUCAUCUCUGAUGACGCGUGGUUAUUAUCCAGCUGGACCCCAUCGAACCCCCUGCAUUGCUUGGUCGAUGCUCAUAUCAUGACCCCAUGUUAGGUGGGAUCAUCUACAGAGUUUAAGCAUAUCAAUAAGCAAAAGAAAAGAAACUUACUAGGAUUACCCUAGUAACAGCGGGCAAAUCAAGACAAGCCUAGCUUGAGAAUUAUAGUAUGAAAAAGCAUAUUUGGUAACAAUCCAUGCCCAAGUCCCCUAGAUAGGUGCACUAGAGAAGAUGAGUGCCCCAUUGUGCCUAGAUCCUAUUGCACCAUGAGGCAUUGUCAACGAGUCAAGUUGUUUAGAAAUACAGCCCUAAUUGGGCGAUAAAUUCUGUCUAAGGUUUAACACGAGCGAGAGACCAAUAAUGAACAAGUAUCGUGAGGGAAAGAUGAAAAAGGCUUUGAAAAAAGAGUCAAAAAAUCCUUAAAAUUGUCAUGAAAGAAACUAAUAAGGGUCGAUGAUGCAUCCGAUCAAAUGUGGAAUAGCGAGAGCCAAUUCGCCAAUCGACUUAGGGUAUGGACUGAUGUAAGUUAUAGUAGUAGCCUAAGCUUGACCUUUUAAUAUGCCCAUAAAAACAUCAUCAUCAUGAUCAUGGAAUGCAGCAUGUACCAUCUCAAUGUGCCUCAGCACCCGUGUGCUCCCAGCGUCAGCCUACGAGUUCCCCAUUUAACCUAUGUUGAAACACGGACUAAAGAGUCUAACAUGUGUGUGAGUCAACGGGCUAGAAAACUUGUAAGGUGCAAAGAAGUUGACUAACAAAAUUGCUUGCGGGUGCACCACGACUGACCUUGAUCUUUUGAAAAGGGUUCAAGUGUGAGCAUGCUUGUCGAGACCUGAAAGAUGGUGAACAAUGCUUGAAUGGGGUAAAGCCAGAGGAAACUCUGGUGGACACCUGUAGUGAUACUGACAUGCAAAUAGUUCAUCUAACUUAGGUAUAGGGGCAAAAGACUAAUCGAAUCAUUUAAUAGCUAAUUCCCUUUAAAGUUUCCCUCAGAAUAGUUGGAAUCCUUAACAAGUUCUAUUAGGUAAAGUUAAUGAUUAGAGGCAUUGAGGGUGUAAUGCCUUUGACCUAUUCUCAAACUUUAAAUAGUUAAGACAAUGCGGCUGCUUUGUUAAGCCACACCAUGGAAUCAAGAGCUCUAAUUAGGCCAUUUUUGGUAAACAGAACUAGUAAUGUAAGAUGAACCUAAAGCUAAGUUACAAUGCCUAACUGUAUGCUAACCUAGAACCUAUAAAGGCUGUUGGUUGAUUAAGAUAAUAGGAUGAUAGUCAUGAAUGUCAAAAUCUACUAAAGAGUGUGUAAUAGCUCCCCUACCAAAUCAACUAGACCAAAAAUGGAUGGCGCUUAAGUGCACAACCUAUACCCAACCAUCAAGGCAAGGGUAAGGCCCCCCAAUGAGUAGGAAAGAACGGUAAUCAUUGCAAAACUUGAGGUGUGAGCCCUGGCAAAGUGACUGGAAAAGCACUGCAAGUCACGUGGUAUCUAGUGCAUCUCUGGUGGGCCUUGAAAAUUCAAAGGAUCGAGUGUCAUCCAUGCCCAGUCAUACUUAUAACCACAUCAGGUCUCCAAGCUGAAUAGCCUCUGGUCGAUGGAAUAAUAUAGGCAAGGGAAGUUGGUAAAAUGGAUUUGUAACAUUGGGACAAAGAUUGGCUCUGAGGGUUGGGCAUGGGGGUCCUAGUCCCAAACUCAUCAGUUGUUAAUGCAUUGCUUGAGCCACUCUCAUGGCAAGAAUGAAUCAUCACAUGCCGAUAAAAAGAUAGAUUAGGAAUAGCCCUCUCGGGGGCCUUCCCUGGACAAAAAACAAUUAACUUAAAAUUCGUAUGGACAAGGGGAAUCUAACUAUUUAAUUAAAACAAGGCAUUGUGAUGCUUUUUACGUAUGUUCAUGUAAUGUGAUUUCUACCCAAUGCUUUGAAUGUCAAAAUAAAAAAAUUCAACCAAAUGCGAGUAAAUGAUGGGAGUAACUAUGACUCUCUUAAGGUAACCAAAUGCCUCAUCAUCAAAUUAGUGAUGCACAUGAAUGGAUUAACAAGAUUCUCACUAUCCUUGUCUACUAUCCAGUGAAACCACAGCCAAGGGAAUGAACUUGGCAAAAUCAGGAGGGAAAGAAGACCUUGUUGAGCUUGACUCUAGUUUGACUUUGUGAAAUAACUUGAGAGGUGUAGGAUAAGUGGGAGCCAUCGGGCGAAAUUGAAAUAUCACUACUUUUGACACUAUUUUACUUAUUUCAUGAAUCAAAGAUGGGGCCAUGACCUCUUUUUUUGGACACAAGGUCAACCUCGAUCGAUCAAUUUAGGUGAAAGACAUUGUCAGGUAGAGAAUUUGGCCAAGGCAACAUAUCUAUUAAAAGAUAACACAAGUGUCUUAAGAUUAGCUCAAUAAGAACAGAAAUCUCAUGUGGAACAAAAGGGUAAAAACUCGUUUGAUUCUAAUUUCUAAUACAAAUACGAACUGUGAAAGCAUGGCCUGUCAAUCUUUUAGACCUUUGAAAUUUGAAGCUAGAGGUGGUAGAAAAGUUACCAUAAGGAUAACUAGUUUGUGGCAACCAAGCGUUUAUAGCGACGUUGCUUUUUGAUCAUUCGAUGUUGGCUCUUGCUAUCAUUGUGAAAUAGAAUUCACCAAGUUUUUUAUUGUUCACCCACCAAUAGAGAACAUGAGCUAGGUUUAGACUAUCAUAAAAUAGGUUAGUUUUACCUUACCAAUGGCAAUGUCUCAAUAGUAAUUUAACUUAGCACAAGGAACUAUUGAUUCGCACAAUUGGUCAUUGCAUUUGGAUGAAAAGCCAGUGGCAAAGGUACCAUGGGCUAGAUUAUGACUAAACACCUCUAAGUUAGAAUCUAGGCUAGAAGUAACGCAUGCACCCAUCACCUAAUUGUCGACCCAUAGUAAGGGCCCAUAGGCCCGUAAGGCAUGUGUCGUAGGUGCAACCCUCUCGACGGACAAGCCUCAUUGGCCAUUUUAGAGCU